rnacentral:rRNA from 1 species
CCUACGGGAGGCAGCAGUGAGGAAUAUUGGUCAAUGGACGAGAGUCUGAACCAGCCAAGUAGCGUGAAGGAUGACUGCCCUAUGGGUUGUAAACUUCUUUUAUAUGGGAAUAAAAUGUUCCACGUGUGGAAUUUUGUACGUACCAUAUCAAUAAGGAUCGGCUAACUCCGUGCCAGCAGCCGCGGUAAUACGGAGGAUCCGAGCGUUAUCCGGAUUUAUUGGGUUUAAAGGGAGCGUAGGUGGAUUGUUAAGUCAGUUGUGAAAGUUUGCGGCUCAACCGUAAAAUUGCAGUUGAAACUGGAAGGCUUGAGUACAGGAGAGGUAGGCGGAAUUCGUGGUGUAGCGGUGAAAUGCUUAGAUAUCACGAAGAACUCCGAUGGCGAAGGCAGCUGACUGGACUGCAACUGACACUGAGGCUCGAAAGUGUGGGUAUCAAACAGGAUUAGAUACCCCAGUAGUC